AUUGGACGCUGGCGGCAGGCCUAACACAUGCAAGUCGAGCGGAUGAAGGGAGCUUGCUCCUGGAUUCAGCGGCGGACGGGUGAGUAAUGCCUAGGAAUCUGCCUGGUAGUGGGGGAUAACGUCCGGAAACGGGCGCUAAUACCGCAUACGUCCUGAGGGAGAAAGUGGGGGAUCUUCGGACCUCACGCUAUCAGAUGAGCCUAGGUCGGAUUAGCUAGUUGGUGGGGUAAAGGCCUACCGAGGCGACGAUCCGUAACUGGUCUGAGAGGAUGAUCAGUCACACUGGAACUGAGACACGGUCCAGACUCCUACGGGAGGCAGCAGUGGGGAAUAUUGGACAAUGGGCGAAAGCCUGAUCCAGCCAUGCCGCGUGUGUGAAGAAGGUCUUCGGAUUGUAAAGCACUUUAAGUUGGGAGGAAGGGCAGUAAGUUAAUACCUUGCUGUUUUGACGUUACCAACAGAAUAAGCACCGGCUAACUUCGUG
rnacentral:rRNA from 1 species